CAGACACAGCAGUUUCCAUUCC
rnacentral:miRNA from 1 species